AAAGCUGACUAAUAGUCAGUCUUGCACAUCCCAAAACGCAAAACACGAGCGAGCACAAAAAAAAAAUCCCAAUAUCCGCAACGGCAAUGUCUCCGCUGCCCCGCAUCGUGCUCCUCGCCGUCGCCGCCGCCGCCGCCGCAGCGGUCACGGCGUCAGCCACGUCGCUCAGCGGCGCGGCGAACGACCUACUCCCCAAGUACGGCCUCCCGAAGGGGCUCAUCCCGGACUCCGUCGCCUCCUACAGCUUCGACGAGGCCACGGGCGCCUUCGAGAUCCACCUCGCCGGCACCUGCUACGUCCACUUCGGCUCCCACCUCGUCUACUACGAGAGGACCAUAACCGGCAAGCUCUCCAAGGGCGCCAUCUCGGACCUCUCCGGCGUCCAGGCCAAGAAACUCUUCCUCUGGGUCUACGUCACGGGGAUGGUCGCGCACCCCGACCAGGGCACCAUCGAGUUCCAGGCCGGCUUCAUCUCGGAGUCGCUAUCGGCCUCGAUGUUUGACGAGGUGCCCACCUGCGGUUCCAGCGUUGGCGCGCAGCUGCGCGGCGCGGCUGGGGUGAUCGGCGAGCUUGGGCUGCUCCCCGUUGCACAGGUAUUUUUACGUCUCAACUCCUAUAUAGGUUUUAAGUUGCUUAGUAUCGAACGGGAAUUAGUCCCAAUUUUGUUUGCUUGACUUGAUUGAUGUGAUAUCGUAAGAUAGAAGUAUUAGCUGGCUGGUGAUCUCUGCCACUGCCAGUAAGGUUCUUUCAUGUUUAGUAGUUCUGCGGGUCUGUUACAUAGAAAUUUGCAGUUAGGAGUUUAAUCUGCAAGUUCUUGGUGCUUGGAUUUCAAUUUCACACUGAGACUUAUAGAUCCAAUCGGACCUUCACAUCAUGACCACUUGAAAUUGAAGAUCUAGUUUUAGCUUUACCUACAGUUGUUGACUUAGAUGGAUCUCAUUGUACAUUUGUACUGUUCACGAGUCCAAUGGUGCAUAAUUUCUUUAUGCGCCAUUUUUUUCCUUCGCUCCAGAGGGCCUGGACGAGAGUUCAAGUGGGACACAGGUGGGAACACCCCCCCACCCCCAGUGAACUUUAAAAAAAAGGGACAACUUACAUUUAAGGAAUGUUUUGAAUGUAGAUGUUAGGUAUAUAAGGGGGUGUUUGGUUUUAGUGACUAAUUUAGUCCCUUCAUUUUAUUUCAUUUUGGAACCUGUUUGGUUUCUUUAGUCCAAGACUAAAAUUUAGUUCCUACACUGUUUGGUUGCAAGGACUAAAAAUAUUCAGAAUGCAUCAAAUGACUCGUAAGAAGGCUAAAAUGCCCCUUAACAUUCUUCGGCCAUUAGUGCAACUAAAAUAAAUGACGGCAAAAGUUGGAAUUAAUAUGAUUUAGUCCUUUUUAGUCACCCGUUGAGUGACUAGAGACAAAAACAGUUUAGUCCCUAUUUUAGUCUCACAGUUUGGCUAUUUAGGGACUAAAUGUGACUAAAAUGGAGGAUCUAAUUUUUAGUCCCUCAAACCAAACGGGGCCUUAGUCUCUAAAUUGUCAAAUACGAAAAUUUGAAAUAGAAUUUUAGUUUCCGUAUUUGACAAUUUAGGAACUAAAAUGGAAUAAAAUGGAGAGACUACAAAUUAGUCCCUAGAAACCAAGCACCCCCUAAGCAUUGACAUUAUAUUUUCAUCUUACGCAUCCCACAUUCCCACAUCGUCUGCUAGCAUAAUCUGCCAAACAAAACAACUUGUCGUCUUAGUUUGCAUGAGUCACAUCAUUUAAUAACAGGAAAAUUGGUCCCUGCUUGUGUUCCUAGUCAUUUUCCACUGAAUUAGCUAGUCUGAUCCAGCCAUUAGUUCUUCAUAUUACCAUUCAAUUAAAUUAUCCUUAGGACAGAUGUUGGAAACAUUUGUUUGUUACUAAACUGUUAAGGAAAGAUGUUGAAAACAAUGCAACUUAACCUAGCGCAGAUAUGAUAGAUGGCAUCAGUAUUGUUCAUGAGUGCUGCAUAAUUGGGUUAACAGGAGCCAGCCACCUUGUCCUUAUUAACUGUACUGCCAAAUGGCACAUGUUCAUUAAUACAUGUUCAUUAGUACAGGAAUUUCAAAUUUUACUUUAAAUCACAAUCUUCUCACCUAGAGCUAGUUGGCAGUGACUAUAUUUUGGAGAUAAGGUUAAGGUAGUCAAACUAUGUUAAGCUAUGGGCCAUAAGCUUAACAUCCACUUGUAGGUUGCAAUGAUUGAACUUCUCUGGCCAUGUCCCAAGUUAGGUAAUAGGUAGUAGCAGAGAAAGAAUGAAUACCUUGCUAACAUCCACUUGUGGGGGUGAGUGUUGUGAUUUCUACCUAGAUAUUUUGCUGAGGUGACACUUUGGACUGCACAUUUUGGGUUGGGACAGAAGGGCGCAGAAGGGCAGAAUUGUCUAAAAUGGCAUUGAAACCAAAGGCCUGAACGUGGGUUGGAGAGUCCACAUACAGUCCCAGAGAACCGCAGGACCUUACCGUCUGCUGUCGCGUGUCGCCUGAGCCCUAGACAGCCGUGGUGUGUUCUGCUUCUGCCUGUACGUACCAGUGUCUGGUUGUUGCUCCCGGUGUCAAAUGGACAUGGAUGAUCUGUAGAAAUGUAUGUCUAUAAUAUGCUGUUACUGAACAUGCGUAGGAUGUAGGCAAAUUAGGCCUUCCUCAGUCUCUUGUAGUCCCGGACUAUCGUGUCAUCGUGUGUGGCACCAUGAACUUCCCAACAACUAGCUAGAGUGCCCGCCUUAUGGUUUCUGAUGAUGCAGGCUAUGCCGUUUUUCUUCUUCUUUUCUGACACUGCAAAAACUUCGUCGCAUCUGAAAUGGAGGAUAAUGGCUGACUA